CCUACGGGGGGCAGCAGUGGGGAAUAUUGCACAAUGGGGGAAACCCUGAUGCAGCGACGCCGCGUGAGUGAAGAAGUAUUUCGGUAUGUAAAGCUCUAUCAGCAGGGAAGAAGAAGGACGGUACCUGAGUAAGAAGCCCCGGCUAACUACGUGCCAGCAGCCGCGGUAAUACGUAGGGGGCAAGCGUUAUCCGGAUUUACUGGGUGUAAAGGGAGCGUAGACGGCGAAGAAAGCCUGAAGUGAAAGCCC
rnacentral:rRNA from 1 species